GACGAAGGGGGCUAGCGUUGUUCGGAUUUACUGGGCGUAAAGGGCGCGUAGGCGGCCACCGCAAGUCGACUGUGAAAUCUCCGGGCUUAACCCGGAAAGGUCAGCCGAUACUGCGGGGCUAGAGUGCAGAAGGGGCAACUGGAAUUCUCGGUGUAGCGGUGAAAUGCGUAGAUAUCGAGAGGAACACCUGCGGCGAAGGCGGGUUGCUGGGCUGACACUGACGCUGAUGCGCGAAAGCUAGGGGAGCGAACGGG
rnacentral:rRNA from 1 species